UACAUGGGGUGCAAACGUUGCUCGGAAUUACUGGGCGUAAAGGGCUCGUAGGUGGCCAACUAAGUCGGACGUGAAAUCCCUCGGCUUAACCGGGGAACUGCGUCUGAUACUGGAUGGCUUGAGUUCGGGAGAGGGAUGCGGAAUUCCAGGUGUAGCGGUGAAAUGCGUAGAUAUCUGGAGGAACACCGGUGGCGAAGGCGGCAUCCUGGACCGACACUGACGCUGAGGAGCGAAAGCCAGGGGAGCAAACGGG
rnacentral:rRNA from 1 species